GGGGAAUUUUCCGCAAUGGGCGAAAGCCUGACGGAGCAAUACCGCGUGAGGGAGGAAUGCCUUUGGGUUGUAAACCUCUUUUCUCAGGGAAGAAGAUCUGACGGUACCUGAGGAAUAAGUAUCGGCUAACUCCGUGCCAGCAGCCGCGGUAAUACGGAGGAUGCAAGCGUUAUCCGGAAUCAUUGGGCGUAAGGCGUCCGCAGGUGGUUUCCAAAGUCUGCUGUUAAAGACUGGAGCUCAACUCCGGAACGGCGGUGGAAACUUGGAAACUAGAGUUCGGUAGGGGUAGCAGGAAUCCCCAGUGUAGCGGUGAAAUGCGUAGAUAUUGGGAAGAACAUCGGUGGCGAAGGCGUGCUACUGGACCGUAACUGACACUCAGGGACGAAAGCUAGGGGAGCGAAAGGGAUUAGAUACCCCUGUAGUCCUAGCUGUAAACGAUGGAAACUAGGUGUGGCUUG
rnacentral:rRNA from 1 species